rnacentral:rRNA from 1 species
ACUGCCUAUGGGUUGUAAACCUCUUUUUUCAGGGAGGAACAAAAUGACGUGUACCUGAGGAAUAAGCAUCGGCUAACUCCGUGCCAGCAGCCGCGGUAAGACGGAGGAUGCAAGUGUUAUCCGGAAUCACUGGGCGUAAAGCGUCUGUAGGUGGUUUAAUAAGUCAACUGUUAAAUCUUGAAGCUCAACUUCAAAAUCGCAGUCGAAACUAUUAGACUAGAGUAUAGUAGGGGUAAAGGGAAUUUCCAGUGGAGCGGUGAAGUGCGUAGAGAUUGGAAAGAACACCGAUGGCGAAGGCACUUUACUGGGCUAUUACUAACACUCAGAGACGAAAGCUAGGGUAGCAAAUGGGAUUAGAUACCCCAGUAGUCCUAGCUGUAAACAAUGGAUACUAGAUGUUGAACAGAUCGACCUGUGCAGUAUUAAAGCUAACGCGUUAAGUAUCCCGCC